rnacentral:rRNA from 1 species
GUUAUAUGGUCAAGCGAAUAAGCGCACACGGUGGAUGCCUUGGCGGUCAGAGGCGAUGAAGGACGUGGCAGCCUGCGAAAAGUAUCGGGGAGCUGGCAACAAGCUUUGAUCCGGUAAUGUCCGAAUGGGGAAACCCACCCGCUUGCGGGUAUCCUGCAGUGAAUACAUAGCUGCUGGAAGCGAACCUGGUGAACUGAAAUAUCUAAGUAACCAGAGGAAAAGAAAUCAACCGAGAUUCCGUAAGUAGCGACGAGCGAACGCGGACUAGCCCUUAAGCUGAUUUGGUUCUAGGAAAAYGCUCUGGAAAGAGCGGCCAUAGAAGGUGAUAGCCCUGUAUCUGAAAGGGCCAUUUCAGUGAAGACGAGUAGGGCGGGGCACGUGAAACCCUGUCUGAACAUGGGGGGACCAUCCUCCAAGGCUAAAUACUACUGACCGACCGAUAGUGAACCAGUACCGUGAGGGAAAGGCGAAAAGAACCCCGGAGAGGGGAGUGAAAUAGAACCUGAAACCGUGUGCGUACAAGCAGUAGGAGCUCCGCAAGGAGUGACUGCGUACCUUUUGUAUAAUGGGUCAGCGACUUACUGUUCGUGGCAAGCUUAACCGUAUAGGGGAGGCGAAGGGAAACCGAGUCUGAUAAGGGCGCAUAGUCGCGGGCAGUAGACCCGAAACCGGGUGAUCUAGUCAUGCCCAGGGUGAAGGUGCGGUAACACGCACUGGAGGCCCGAACCCACUCCCGUUGCAAAGGUAGGGGAUGAGGUGUGAUUAGGAGUGAAAAGCUAAUCGAACCCGGAGAUAGCUGGUUCUCCUCGAAAGCUAUUUAGGUAGCGCCUCAUAUGUAUCCUCUCGGGGGUAGAGCACUGUUAUGGCUAGGGGGUCAUCGCGACUUACCAAACCAUUGCAAACUCCGAAUACCGAGACGGACUGUAUGGGAGACACACGGCGGGUGCUAACGUCCGUCGUGAAAAGGGAAACAACCCAGACCCACAGCUAAGGUCCCAAAUUCACUGCUAAGUGGAAAACCAUGUGGAAAGGCACAGACAGCCAGGAGGUUGGCUUAGAAGCAGCCACCCUUUAAAGAAAGCGUAAUAGCUCACUGGUCGAGUCGGUCUGCGGGGAAGAUUUAACGGGGCUAAGCAGUGAACCGAAGCUUGGGGUGCAUAACUUUGUUAUGCGCGGUAGAGGAGCGUUCCGUAAGCCGUUGAAGGUGGAUUGAGAAGUCUGCUGGAGGUAUCGGAAGUGCGAAUGCUGACAUGAGUAACGAUAAUGCGGGUGAAAAACCCGCACGCCGAAAGCCCAAGGUUUCCUUGCGCAACGUUAAUCGGCGCAGGGUGAGUCGGCCCCUAAGGCGAGGACGAAAGUCGUAGUCGAUGGGAAGCAGGUUAAUAUUCCUGCACCUCGCGUAAGUGCGAUGGAGGGACGGAGAAGGUUAGGUGUACCAGGCGUUGGUUGUCCUGGGGAAAGGCGGUAGGUUUGGAUCUUUGGCAAAUCCGGGAUCCUUUAAGACCGAGCACCGAGACGAGCCUUUAUGGCGAAGUCACUGAUACCACGCUUCCAGGAAAAGCUCCUAAGCUUCAGCUUACGCAGACCGUACCGUAAACCGACACAGGUGGGUAGGAUGAGAAUUCUCAGGCGCUUGAGAGAACUCGGGUGAAGGAACUAGGCAACAUGGCACCGUAACUUCGGGAGAAGGUGCACCCUUUUUGGUGGCUCGUGCGAGCUAUAGCUGAAGAGGGUCGCAGUAACCAGGCCGCUGCGACUGUUUAUCAAAAACACAGCACUCUGCAAACACGAAAGUGGACGUAUAGGGUGUGACGCCUGCCCGGUGCUGGAAGGUUAAUUGAUGGGGUCAGCCGCAAGGCGAAGCUCUUGAUCGAAGCCCCAGUAAACGGCGGCCGUAACUAUAACGGUCCUAAGGUAGCGAAAUUCCUUGUCGGGUAAGUUCCGACCUGCACGAAUGGCGUAACGACAGCGGCGCUGUCUCCACCCGAGACUCAGUGAAAUUGAAAUCGCUGUGAAGAUGCAGCGUUCCCGUGGCAAGACGGAAAGACCCCGUGAACCUUUACUAUAGCUUUACACUGAACGUUGAGUUCGUCUGUGUAGGAUAGGUGGGAGGCUAUGAAACUGUGGCGCUAGCUGCAGCGGAGCCAUCCUUGAAAUACCACCCUGUCGUGCUUGACGUUCUAACCUGGGCCCAUUAUCUGGGUCGGGGACCGUGUAUGGUGGGUAGUUUGACUGGGGCGGUCUCCUCCUAAAGAGUAACGGAGGAGCUCGAAGGUACGCUCAGCGCGGUCGGACAUCGCGCACUGUGUGCAAAGGCAUAAGCGUGCUUGACUGCAAGAUCGACGGAUCAAGCAGGUAGGAAACUAGGACUUAGUGAUCCGGUGGUUCUGUAUGGAAGGGCCAUCGCUCAACGGAUAAAAGGUACUCCGGGGAUAACAGGCUGAUACCGCCCAAGAGUUCAUAUCGACGGCGGUGUUUGGCACCUCGAUGUCGGCUCAUCACAUCCUGGGGCUGUAGUCGGUCCCAAGGGUAUGGCUGUUCGCCAUUUAAAGUGGUACGCGAGCUGGGUUCAGAACGUCGUGAGACAGUUCGGUCCCUAUCUGCCAUGGGCGUUGGAGAUUUGAGAGGGGCUGCUCCUAGUACGAGAGGACCGGAGUGGACGAACCUCUGGUGUUCCGGUUGUCACGCCAGUGGCAUUGCCGGGUAGCUAUGUUCGGAAGCGAUAACCGCUGAAAGCAUCUAAGCGGGAAGCGCGCCUCAAGAUGAGAUCUCCCGGGGCACAAGCCCCCUGAAGGAACCAUGUAGACUACGUGGUUGAUAGGUCAGGUGUGUAAGUACAGCAAUGUAUUGAGCUAACUGAUACUAAUGAUCCGAGAGGCUUGACCAUAUAACCU